GUGGUUGUAGCUCAAUGGUAGAGCAUCGGUUUGUGGUACCGAGGGUUGCGGGUUCGAGCCCCGUCUACCACCCCA
rnacentral:tRNA from 1 species